GUCUCUGUGGUGUAACUGGUUAGCGCGUUCGGCUGUUAACCGAAAGGUUGGUGGUUCAAGCCUAUCCAGGGACG